CACUGUUUAAUACGAAUGUUAUACUAUUCGAGGUGAAAAUUACACUCUUUGAAAUAGAAGUUGCACUCUUUCAACAAAAAUUAUACUAUUUCAAAAAAAAUUGCACUAUUCUCGAACCCUCGUCGUCUUUUUUUCUUCUUUUUCUUCCUCUUCUCUUCACCCCCUUCUUUCCUUCCCUUCCUGCUCUCUUUCUUACCAAGGCGAACCUCUUUACCUCGCGGGCCGCAGAGUGCCGAAGCAUAAAAACGACCUUAUCACCUUCGUUCGCUCUGCUCUUUCUUGGGCCGGCCCCGAUUUCUCCUUCUCCUUCUCCUCCUCCGGCAUCGACAGAGGUAGAGGCAGAGGCGGAGGAAGAGGAGACGGCACCACCCUCGUUACGAUCACCAAGGGUCACCGGCACCAGCGGAAGAGAAGAUGAAAGAAGAGGAGGUGGCGCUGCCCUCGUUACCAACGUCGAGGGCCGCAGAGGAGGUGAAGGAGGUGAUGAAGGUCAGAAAGAGAAAAAAGAACGAAGAAAAAAAGAAGAAGAAGAGAGAGGUAGGUUGUUUUUGUGUUUCGGUACUCCGAUGUGGCAUAAAGUGUAGGGAGGCUCGCGUUGGUGAGGAUGGGGGUCGAAAAGGGAGGGGGAGAAGGAGGAGAUGGUCAAGGGAAGAGGAAGAAGAAUAAGAAGAUGAGGGAUGAGGGUCAAAGAAUAGUGCAAUUUUCUCUAAAAUAGUGUAAUUUUUAUCGUAAUAGUACAACUUUUAUUUCAAAGAGUGUAAUUUUUAUCUCAAAGAGUGCAACGUUCAUAUUAAACAGUGCAAUUUUCUUGUAAAGUAGUUUAAUUUU
rnacentral:lncRNA from 1 species